UGUCUCAAAGAUUAAGCCAUGCAUGUCCAAGUAUAAGCAAUCUAUACGGUGAAACUGCGAAUGGCUCAUUAAAUCAGUUAUCGUUUAUUUGAUAGUACCUUACUACAUGGAUAACCGUGGUAAUUCUAGAGCUAAUACAUGCUAAAAACCCCGACUUCGGAAGGGGUGUAUUUAUUAGAUAAAAAACCAGCGCCCUUCGGGGCUCCUUGGUGAUUCAUGAUAACUCAACGAAUCGCAUGGCCUUGCGCCGGCGAUGGUUCAUUCAAAUUUCUGCCCUAUCAACUUUCGAUGGUAGGAUAGUGGCCUACCAUGGUAUCAACGGGUAACGGGGAAUUAGGGUUCUAUUCCGGAGAGGGAGCCUGAGAAACGGCUACCACAUCCAAGGAAGGCAGCAGGCGCGCAAAUUACCCAAUCCCGACACGGGGAGGUAGUGACAAUAAAUACUGAUACAGGGCUCUUUUGGGUCUUGUAAUUGGAAUGAGUACAAUUUAAAUCCCUUAACGAGGAACAAUUGGAGGGCAAGUCUGGUGCCAGCAGCCGCGGUAAUUCCAGCUCCAAUAGCGUAUAUUAAAGUUGUUGCAGUUAAAAAGCUCGUAGUUGAACCUUGGGCCUGGCUGGCCGGUCCGCCUCACCGCGUGUACUGGUCCGGCCGGGCCUUUCCUUCUGGGGAGCCGCAUGCCCUUCACUGGGCGUGUCGGGGAACCAGGACUUUUACUUUGAAAAAAUUAGAGUGUUCAAAGCAG
rnacentral:rRNA from 1 species